GAUGAACGCUAGCGGCAGGCUUAACACAUGCAAGUCGAGGGGUAGAAGGAGCUUGCUCCUUUGAGACCGGCGCACGGGUGCGUAACGCGUAUGCAAUCUACCUUUUGCAGAGGAUAGCCCAGAGAAAUUUGGAUUAAUACCUCAUAGUAUGUGAGGAUGGCAUCAUUUUCACAUUAAAGUCACAACGGCAAAAGAUGAGCAUGCGUCCCAUUAGCUAGUUGGUAAGGUAACGGCUUACCAAGGCUACGAUGGGUAGGGGUCCUGAGAGGGAGAUCCCCCCACACUGGUACUGAGACACGGACCAGACUCCUACGGGAGGCAGCAGUGAGGAAUAUGGACAAUGGGCGCAAGCCUGAUCCAGCCAUGCCGCGUGCAGGAUGACGGUCCUAUGGAUUGUAAACUGCUUUUGUACAGGAAGAAACCACUUAACUUUCGG
rnacentral:rRNA from 1 species